rnacentral:rRNA from 1 species
UACGUAGGGUGCGAGCGUUGUCCGGAAUUAUUGGGCGUAAAGAGCUCGUAGGCGGUCUGUCGCGUCGAUCGUGAAAACUUGGGGCUUAACCCUGAGCUUGCGGUCGAUACGGGCAUGACUGGAGUUCGGCAGGGGAGACUGGAAUUCCUGGUGAGCGGUGAAAUGCAUUGAUAUCAUCAGGAACACCGGUGGCGAAAGGCGGAUCUCUGGGCCGGAACUGACGCUAAGGAGCGAAAGCGUGGGGGAGCGAACGAGG